rnacentral:rRNA from 1 species
UACGUAGGGUGCAAGCGUUAAUCGGAAUUACUGGGCGUAAAGCGUGCGCAGGCGGUUGUGCAAGACAGAUGUGAAAUCCCCGGGCUCAACCUGGGAACUGCAUUUGUGACUGCACGGCUGGAGUGCGGCAGAGGGGGAUGGAAUUCCGCGUGUAGCAGUGAAAUGCGUAGAUACGCGGAGGAACACCGAUGGCGAAGGCAAUCCCCUGGGCCUGCACUGACGCUCAUGCACGAAAGCGUGGGGAGCAAACAGG